rnacentral:rRNA from 1 species
ACUGGAGGAAGGUGGGGAUGACGUCAAAUCAUCAUGCCCCUUAUGUCUUGGGCUUCACGCAUGCUACAAUGGCCGGUACAAAGGGCUGCAAUACCGUGAGGUGGAGCGAAUCCCAAAAAGCCGGUCCCAGUUCGGAUUGAGGUCUGCAACUCGACCUCAUGAAGUCGGAGUCGCUAGUAAUCGCAGAUCAGCAACGCUGCGGUGAAUACGUUCCCGGGUCUUGUACACACCGCCCGUCAAGUCAUGAAAGUCGGUAACACCUGAAGCCGGUGGCCCAACCCUUGUGGAGGGAGCCGUCGAAGGUGGGAUCGGUAAUUAGGACUAAGUCGAACAAGAGC